CUACAAGAUCCAGGACAUCUAUGAGAUCCACAAGGAGUUCUAUGACAACCUGUGCCCCAAGGUGCAACAGUGGGACAGCCAGGUCACCAUGGGCCACCUCUUCCAGAAGCUGGCCAGCCAGCUCGGUGUGUACAAAGCGUUUGUCGAUAACUAUAAAGUCGCUCUGGAGACAGCUGAGAAGUGCAGCCAGUCCAACAACCAGUUCCAGAAGAUCUCAGAGGUAGGCCGCUCCCCACAUAGCCACCCUGAGGGACAAGGAGCUUUGGGGGCUGCUCAGAGCCCUUGGUCUCCCCUCCCUCGCUUGCCAGUCGGUGAAGUGGUUACUCUAAUGGGUAACACUUAGCCUGAUAUUUGCUUUCUUGCACCUGACAUUUUCCCUCUUAAUAGAAAACGAUCUAUUUUAUUUAUUUUUUUAUUAUUCUCUUUCAGAUUAGAGAGAGGAACAGGGGAGGCAAAAAAAAAAAAAAAAAA
rnacentral:lncRNA from 1 species